rnacentral:rRNA from 1 species
UACGUAGGAGGCGAGCGUUGUCCGGAAUUACUGGGCGUAAAGCGCGUGUAGGCGGUCUGAAUAGUCUGCUGUGAAAGCGCCUGGCUUAACCGGGCGAGGUCGGCGGAAACUCUCAGACUGGAGGCCGGUAGAGGGGGGUGGAAUUCCCGGUGUAGUGGUGAAAUGCGUAGAGAUCGGGAGGAACACCUGUGGCGAAGGCGGCCCCCUGGGCCGCGCCUGACGCUGAGACGCGAAAGCGUGGGGAGCAAACAGG